rnacentral:rRNA from 1 species
UACGGAGGGGGCGAGCGUUAUUCGGAAUUAUUGGGCGUAAAGGGCGCGUAGGCGGCCCGGUAAGUCAAAGGUGAAAUCCCUCGGCUCAACUGAGGAACUGCCUUUGAAACUGUCGGGCUUGAGGCCGGGAGGGGGUAGCGGAAUUCCCAGUGUAGCGGUGAAAUGCGUAGAUAUUGGGAGGAACACCAGUGGCGAAGGCGGCUACCUGGACCGGUUCUGACGCUGAUGCGCGAAAGCGUGGGGAGCAAACAGG